UUUUCCAUACCUUAAAACUUGGGUAGUAGAUGCAUCAAACUAGAUUUUAGCUCAAAACGAACAUCCAAGUCUGGGCAGGAGAUGCAGAGGAGUUGCUGGUUUGUGGGUGGAGCUGCCAACUCCCUCAAUGUGCAUUCUUAUUUCAUGUUUUGUAUUUCGGGUGUAGCGGAUAAAGUGUUGCCUUGAUGUGUCUGCCUUCAUUUUCUUGUAUGUUUUCUUAGACUUUUGGCAGUAUUUUCAAUCUCCAGAUCAUAAAGAAGUGGUCCUCUACGAUUGG
rnacentral:lncRNA from 1 species